GUUCGGAUAUCUAGCAGGUUUGCCUCUCAAUCCAUAAACCUGGGUCUCUAGUGAACUGCUAUUCCAGUCUCUAAUUCCACUGGGCUGGAAAUUACAGAUUGGUUGUUACUGGACUCCAGGAGGCUCCCAAAGUCUCACAGAAAUCCAGGAGACUUAAAUGAUCCAAGGGCAGGAAAGAAGGCUGCUCAUCCCAGCCUAGCAGCGGAUUUGCUCCUCAGUCUUCAGUGUCUAAGCUCAGAGCAGUUCCUGCAAGUCUACCUCCAGGCAAGGGAAUCUACCGAGGUGGGGCACCCCUGGGGGCUGUGCCUCUCUAAGGCACACCAGGCACCCUCUUCCU
rnacentral:lncRNA from 1 species